rnacentral:rRNA from 1 species
GACGAGCGCUGGCGGCGUGCUUAACACAUGCAAGUCGAACGGUGAAGCGCCUUCCUUUUUGGUGGGUUUGGAUGAGUGGCGAACGGGUGAGUAACACGUGAGUAACCUGCCCCCUUCUUCUGGAUAACCGCAUGAAAGUGUGGCUAAUACGGGAUAUUCUGGGUCUGUCGCAUGAUGGGUCUGGGACAGAUAUUGUUUCGGUGGGGGAUGGGCUCGCGGCCUAUCAGCUUGUUGGUGGGGUGAUGGCCUACCAAGGCGGUGACGGGUAGCCGGCCUGAGAGGGUGGAGGGUCACACUGGGACUGAGACACGGCCCAGACUACUACGGGAGGCAGCAGUGGGGAAUAUUGCACAAUGGGCGCAAGACUGAUGCAGCGACGCAGCGUGAGGGAUGGAGGCCUUCGGGUUGUGAACCUCUUUCGCCAGUGAAGCAGGCCUGCCUCGUUUGUGGGUGGGUUGACGGUAGCUGGAUAAGAAGCGCCGGCUAACUACGUG